GACGAACGCUGGCGGCGUGCCUAAUACAUGCAAGUAGGACGCAGUUGCGAACGGGUGAGUAACGCGUAGGUAACUACCUAUUAGAGGGGGAUAACUAUUGGAAACGAUAGCUAAUACCGCAUACUAGUAGAUUGACCUUCGUUGUAUUAGCUAGUAGGUAGGGUAAUGGCCUACCUAGGCAACGAUACAUAGCCGACGUGGGAGGGUGAUGGGCAACACCGGGACUGGGACACGGCCCAGAACCCGACGGGAGGCAGACGUAGGGAAUAGUCGGCAAGGGGGGGGAGCCUGACCCAGCAACGCCGAGGUAGUGUAUAAGGUGUUCGUAUUGUAAAUCUCUGUUGUUAAGGAAGCGGUACUUAACCAGAAAGGGACGGCUAACUACGUGCCAGCAGCCGCGGUAAUAC
rnacentral:rRNA from 1 species